GGUUAACUGGCCGGGCCGGGGGCGGGGCUCCGGGGGCCCCGCCCCCGAAGGGUCACGUGUCUUGCUGGUCCGCUCCAAGGCUGAGGUCAAGGCGCUCCAAAACGCCUCAGGCCACCCGAGAUCCCGUCCCUCCAAGGAGCAAACAGCCUUAUCUGGCCCAGGAGAGCAAUGUCCAGAGGUCAGAGGACUGCUACAAUGAAAGAUCACAGGGCUGCCUGCCAAGGAAAUCUGUGAUGAUUCUAAAUUAACCCCGGGUCUGACCUCCAGUUUCCACAAACAGGUAUUGUGAACCUGAAAAGAGUACAUCUUCCCUUUAUUUGUGGGCUGUAUAGAUACUGAACCUGGGACCUCAUGUGUUCUAGAGACUGAACAACAAAUGAUAUUUCUACCUCUCCAAGGACUUGGCAAAUAAGCCAAAUCUUUCUCUUCACAAUCCUCUAAAGACACCACUGCACCAUGACAGCAGGAAGUAAAUUCAAGAAUACAACAAGAAUUCCCAAGAGUGAGACAUGUUUGCUCAUGGCAUCAACAAUCUACUUCAGAGAAAAUGAUGGGCAUCUUCUUAUUAACUUGUGCUACACGAACUUGGACAAUAGUACAAUUAUCCAGUCAUCUAAUCCAGUCUGAACUGUUAUCAUCACUAUGCUGCUCCAUUCCUACACACUGAAAGUGUCAAAAUACUAAUUUCUUGGGGAACUCACCCUCAUUCUCACUACUGCUAGAACGGACCUCAGGAGAUGAUUCAGAUUGUGAUGAUGAAAAUUCUUCUUUCCAUUUCUUCCGUUUCUUUGGUGGUGGCUCAGCCUUCACUUUGAGUUGUUUAACUUUGGGUUUUGUAGAAGGGGCUUUUGUAGUUGGAGUUUUUGAUACUGGUGGGUCAGAAGUUUUGCUGCUACUACUUGGCUUAGAUGGAACAUUUCUGCAAUUUUAAAACAAGUUUCAUUAACAUCAUUAAAUCUCUUAAGACUGAAAAGAAAUAAUCUGAUGAUUAAUAAGAGAAGAUUAAACAAACUCAGGACAACAGUUCCAAAAUAGUUCACAUGCUAUACAACUCAACAGUGACUACCAUAGCAUUUUCUUGAUAUAGAUUGCAUGAUACUGGCACAUUAUACUGUUAUUAAGGUGCUAUUAACUCAAUUUUAGCAUAUCAGAUCCCUUAUGGUUCAUUUUCCAGAGAAGAUGAGGUGUACAAAGCCAAAUCUAGCCUUGAUACUCUAGUAGAACUAGGUUUUGAUGAAGAAAUACAUGUAUAUGCAUCUGUCUGAGAAGCCCUGAAGUCCUAUGCUGAAUCUAGAAAUCUGUGUGGUUAAAUUCUAUCAGGACAUCGGGUAGUAGUGGUGUACACCUUUAAUCCCAGUACUCAGAAGGCAGAGGCAGGCAGAUUUCUGUGAGUUAGAGGCCAGCCUGGUCUACAGAGCUAGCUCCAG